GGGAAGUUCCAGGCUGGUGCUGCUGCUGCUGUGGCUGCCAUCCCUUGUCCCUAAGUCUGGGCCCCAGGCCCUGGGUACAGCUCCCUUCCUCACCCUGCCAGGGCCCAUGACCUCCUUCCGUCCUUUCAGGAUUUUGCAGGAAGUGGAAGAGGCGUGUAGAAGGUGCCAGAGGACAGACAGGAAGCCAAGAGAGGCAUGGAGAGCAGGUGCAGCAGAGAGAGCACUGUUUGCUUAGAGAUGAUUUCAUAGAGCGCUGGAUGGAAAGAAAUCUGUCCUCAGUUGCUGGGGUGGCCUCUUGACACCCCCGCUCUUCGCAACAGCCUGGAGAAGACCCCACCCCGUCUCAGCAAAUAUGAGGCGUGUCUAUCCUGCCACUCUCCACCCCAGGAGCAGGCAUUGGUAAUCCAUCCCAUCACUCUUGUCCACUGAUUCCAGAUAAAGCCUUUAAUUCUUUGCAACAGAGUGUCGAAGGCAAUAGAUGCCAAAGGUUGAAGCUAUUACGGUUUUGUUUUGUUUUUUUCUGAGACAGGGUCUCACUCUGUUGUCCAGGCUGGAGUACAGUGGCACCAUCUCAGCUCACUGCAACCUCUGCCUCCUGGGCUCAAGCAAUUCUCCUGCCUCAGCCUCCCAAGUAACUGAGACUACGGGCAUGUGCCACCACCGCUGGCUAAUUUUUAUGUUUUUAGUAGAGACAGGGUUUUGCUAUGUUGCCCAGGCUGGUUUUGAACUCUUGGACUCAAGCAAUCCUCCCUCCUCAGCCUCCCCAGGUGCUGGGAUUACAGGUGUGAGCCGCCACACCCAGAAGCAGCUAGUAAUUGAUGACACUUGCUUUACAUUCCAGACCUAGAUGUCUUCCCCUGCCUUCAUUGGGAGGGUGCUGAGCCACGGGUUCCACCUCUGCCAAAGGCACACCUAGGAGACUCCUCAUGUCCAGCUGAGAAGAGGGGGACACCUCCUGUCUGAGACUGCAGCUCACACUGCUGCAUGCUUCCUGGACACCAUCUCUCUGACCUUGGUCGCAUCUGCCUAGCCUGCAGCUACGUUCUCUGACCUCCAGCUCUUCCUCUUUCUCCCCUCGGUAAUACCAAAGUCUCAAGAACACAGCCCUCACUUCUAGACAGAAAGGCCUCACCAGGACCCACCUGUGUGGCCCAGGUGUGACCUCAUGUACAAACACAUCUCCCAAAAUCACCAUCUCGUCAUCAUGGAUCCUAGUACUAUCCAUGAGUUAACUCUCAUUUCUGUGUUAAUCGGGGGUGCAGCACAUUUUGGUGCAGAUUCAUUGUGGCUUUGGGGUGCCAUUUGGGACUCUCCCCCAUGCACAAUGUGUGCCUAUCUCAUCAAAUUAAAUUAGGCUUGUUUUGGCCUGGCCAGUGUCCAUUCCUUCUUUUCCGGAUAAUAGCAUCUCAGUUUUCCAUGGGGAACAUUUCCUCUCCCACACACUAAAUGAAAUCAUAUCUGACAUGACUUGUAUGGAGGAUAUGACCCAACCCAGCAGAAACAUAGUGACUGGCUCAAGGGUGGCCAUAAGAUCCAGCUGGGCUGAUCAGAGUUGGCCCGGACAACUGAGCUAUCAGUCAUGAGGUGACCCCUUUCUGCUGUUACCAAAGUGAUAAGAGGUCAUCUAAGAGCUGUUGGGACCAUCUUUCCUCCAUUUGAGGAAAUCCAGCCCUAGAAUGAAGCCAACACCAGGAAAAGCAGAUCCAACGUACAACAGGAUACAGGUUCCCAAUGAUGUCAUUUAAGCGCCUGGAUCCAGCCAUGCCUGAAACCAUAAACUGCCAGACAUUUCUACUUAAGACUAUUUGAAUUGGAUUCAUUUCCCCUGCCACCAAAAGAUGCUUGGUUAAUACAAGUUAUUAAGAUAAGUCUGAGCAGCCUACAAAUAGGCAAACAAUUAUUAGGGGAAAUUACCUAAGACAUGUGGGAUAGGAGUAAUAUUGCUGGAUAAUGCAGAUGCUAGCAACACAAGGCAAAUAAUUGAAGAAUUGAUCACAGUUCCCACUCUAAAGAUACUGAAACCACAAUCCUACUUCUCUUUCAGGAGGGCAGGGUCCUAAGUGGCCAUCUGGUCUACCAGGGUGGUCUCCCCAUGAAAACAGGAAAUUGACAUUAGUCGGCAUGGGGUAGUUUAGUGAACCUGUGUUAGCUUCUCGUGAUAAGCAUAUUUUCUUCUAAACAGCCACAAGCCAUCUGUGUAAUGCUCUGUUCCAGAAUUCUGCGAAGAUCUCUUGCUGUCAGACAUACCCCAUCUGGGGUUUCCAGGAUCCAUAUCAUUUUCCCUUUUGGAAAAUUGGGGCCCUUGCCCAUCUUCAGGCUUUACUUACUUUCCAGCAAUUUCUCCUGGGUCCUCUUUCACUGUCUCCUGGCCAACCAUGAAUUCAAUUCUCUCUUUAGAACGUCUCUUCCUCCCGUGGGAUUGGAAAGAACAUUUGUCCUCAGCGGCAAAGGC
rnacentral:lncRNA from 1 species